rnacentral:lncRNA from 1 species
UGGGAAGAAAGGGUAUCAAAUCCCUUGACCCAAGAACAAAACCGUGAGGGGAAGGCUGGGCCAAGGCCCUCGAACCCAAAGCGGACAAUAUCUACUGUUGUGGGCCCAGAGGAUGUUACAAUUGGUAUCAGAGCCUGGGCCUCAUGAGUACGGUGUGCUGAGCGAGGACGCUCAGGCCUUAUUGGGGGUAGAAGCCCUAUGAGGUGGAUUGAAAGUAUCCCACAUCGGAAAGAGGUAAGGAGGGGGGAAGCCUUAUAAGGGAAAGCCCCAAGAGACCACAGUAGAC